rnacentral:hammerhead_ribozyme from 1 species
GCACUGCUGACGAGUCCCGAACAGGACAAAACAGCUGUCCAGUGC